CAGACACCCCACGGGUGCCCGGGCACGGGCUGAGAUCAAGCUGAUGCCGCUUGCGACCGUCGAACCUGUCCGGGUCAUGCCGGCGAAGGAAGAGAGUCAGAUGGAAAUC
rnacentral:ncRNA from 2 species